ACGGUACGCCAACAGAGGGAGGAGAGCGUUGCAGGCAAUGUCCAGUGGUGCAUCAUAAGAGUCUUUAGUUCCAGGAAGACUGGUCCCAGCACCUGGAAAUGAAAUUUAUCUCAUGAUUGCGUCGACAUGUGCACCAGCCUGGAGGAGCAAGCGAGCGAUGUAUGCAGCUCUGUCGUAGAGGCCUUGCCGCAGGAGAUUUCGCACAGUGUGUAGCGGAGUCUCCCCAGAGAUGUCUUUACAGUUAACAUCAGCACCAUGUGCUACCAGGGUGUUUAGUGCUUCCACCACACUGCUACUCCACACCUCACCUGUGACCAGAAAUUUGUGCUGUCAAUACGAGAUGAUUAUUAUACAUUAGAACAUAAAAAUAAAGUAUACUGUAGGCCUACUGUCCAUGCGAGGCAGCAUGGCAGUUCCAAUUGGCUCGUGCGAGGCACCUCCAAUUUCUAUCCACCAAAAUUCAUUUGUAUACUUAUUAUUAAUAAUAAUAAUACUAUAAUAAUAAUUUAUAUUUAAAAAUAUACCGAAGAACAUGGUACAAUGGUUGAAUAGUUGCUACACAAAUUAAAAAUUAAUAAAGCCACUAUCCCUGGAACUGGCAGUUUUGGCAACUGGCAUGUCAUUCCCCAUCCCAGGUUUACCAACCAUGGCUGCCGAAUGUGGUAACCCAUCCUGAGUUUACUGACCCAGGUGAGGGCAUGCUAUUUCCCAUCCCGAGUUUCUGAUCUUGGCGACUGCAUGGUCCAUACAUCCACAAAUCAACAACUCUGUUUCCAAACCAAUAUUUACACAGAUCUUUCUUGAACUGAAAUUAUUCAAUCAUCACUAUGAAAUUUUACUGAGGUGUGUAUUGUAGCACAAUACAGUAGUAAAUUUAUAUUAACCUACAAAGCCUACAGGGAUAAUGAAUUCGGGAGAAACAGUUCUUUUAUUUUAGAUAAGUGAAAUUCAGAAAUGCUGUACAGAGAAAUAUUUAUGACAGGUGAUGAAGGUUUUCCAUUAAUGGGGACAGGAAGCCUGUUAUGCUUACCGAGGUACCCCCUAGGUACCUAGGUAUACUGUGGUGUACCACAGUAUACCACUGCAUCUCAAUCGUCACACCAUACUUGCACUUAAGAUUUCAUAAAUGGAUCAAGCUUGAAGCUCUUGAGUGGAUUUGUUAAGACCUUCCAAUUUGAAACCAAACUGUCUAUUAUUUUGUUGUUACUUUCCAGGCACUCUGUCUAUUUGAUUUUAAUAAUUUUUUCUAGUGCUUUUACUAUCACACCUGUCAAUGAUACAAGUCUAUAGUUUAGCAAGUCUUCCCUAUUUCCAUUCUUAUAGAUUGAAACUGUCUUUUUCAAUCAGUCAGGGAGGUUCACUGUUCGCAAGGAUGUUUGUUAGAUAUUCCGUAGCAGGGCGCUAAUCUCGGAUGCACAUAUCUUUAGUAUCCAAGGUGAUACAGUACUCCAACUGUUUUUCUAGCUGUCUAACUCCCAAGUACCUAUUUACUGCUAGGUAACAGGGGUAUCAGGUUGAAAGAAACUCUGUCCAUUUGUCUCUGCCGGCGCCGGGAAUCAAACCCGGGCCACAGGAUUACGAAUGCCGUGCACUGUCCACUCAGCUACCAGACCCCCCGUGUGUGACCCCAGCUACUAGACCUCUAUCUGAGUGAUAGCAUGAAUUCAAGUUAAGGCAACAAAGCUGCCAAAAAAUAUAAGAAAGUUCCCAUGUGUUACCAAAGUUGCAGGGUUAAACUCCCUAAUUUCCUAAACUUUCAGCAUUGAUAAAUGAUAUAUGAAACUGAAUUAGCUUUUAUCUGUUUUGAAUACAGCAUCUUCAUUAAAAUACUGUAAAUGUUAUACUGUAUAUAGAACAUCGAUGAAUAUAGUAUUAAAAAUGAAUAAAUUUAUAUUAGGUUAGCACUAUAAAAUUUCCUAUUUUAUAUUUUUGAAACUACACUAGUUGUAUAAAACUUAUAUACUGUACAUACAGUACUGUAUUCAGUUAAAGUGAAUGCCUACAAGUUAGUGUUCAUAUUAAUUUUUGUUAUUCUAAACAUGAAGCUUGUACUUAAUGCUUAUCAAUAUUCCACAAGGUCAAGACCUGACAUUACUUAGGAUGCAACCAGCAACAGCUGCCUAGCUCUUGGGGUGUCUAUUUACUGUUAGGUGAACACAGGCAUCAAGUGAAAGAGACCAAUUUCUGUUCUGCACAGGGACUAAACCCCGGUCGCUUGAUUGCAAUUUAAGAAAUGACAUACCAGUGAGCAAAAAUUUGUACUAAAAUAGUGAGAAAGCAACUUACCUAGUAAUAGGGCAUGGAGUGGCGUCUGGCCCAACAAGUUUGGCUCAUUAAUAGCCGUGUUCGACACUAGAAGCUUGCUGACCAGGGGCCCAGGCUGUGGCAGCAGACAUGCCACGUGUAAGGCUGUUGGUGUGAACUUCUGAGGAUAGACCACCGUAUAGCACAUUACUAAACUUGCAUUUACCAUUCACUUGUGGGCUUUCAGAGGUACAAGGCUCCUACUGUACUUGUUCACUGUGACUUGUAUAUACUGUAUAUUUUUAAUCUUGAGUUCUUUUGUACUGUAUUCACAGAAAAAAUAUAUAUAAUGGAUUAUAUUUGCA